rnacentral:lncRNA from 1 species
CAAAAUUCUGUACACUGACGACACGUGUUGUUUCUUUUGAAGAACGGGGCGAAUGAUGUGAAACACCAUCGGUGGUUCCGCUCCGUGGACUGGAAAGCUGUUCCGCAGAGAAAACUGAAGCCUCCCAUCGUGCCCACGAUAGCUGGCAACGGCGACACUUCCAACUUCGAAACUUACCCUGAGCAUGACUGGGACACAGCCGCGCCCGUGCCGCAGAAGGAUUUAGAAAUCUUCAAGAAUUUCUGAGGACGAGCUCACAUCUGGAAGAAACAGGAAGAUUGGAAUCUGCCUGGAACAAAGAACUGCACCUAAGCAGACCAGAAGCAAAAUGUCUUCUUCACGGCCUGAGGACAUUUCCAGUUUUCUCUGUACCUGUGUGUAUAGAAAUAGAUCAGAGCACAGUUGAAAUUCAUGGAACUGGCAUUAUUUAAGCAACCAGAAUUCCACACUGUAGGAAGGUUUUGAAAAUUGUUUCGUUAUAG